AUUGAACGCUGGCGGCAGGCCUAACACAUGCAAGUCGAACGAGUGGCGGACGGGUGAGUAAUGUCUGGGAAACUGCCUGAUGGAGGGGGAUAACUACUGGAAACGGUAGCUAAUACCGCAUACCAUCGGAUGUGCCCAGAUGGGAUUAGCUAGCAGGUGGGGUAAAGUCUCACCUAGGCGACGAUCCCUAGCUGGUAUGAGAGGAUGACCGGCCACACUGGAACUGGGCGACGGACCCGACUCCAACGGGAGGCAGCAGUGGGGAAUAUUGCACAAUGGACGCAAGCCUGAUGCCUCCAUGCCGCGUGUAUGAAGAAGGCCUUCGGGUUGUAAAGUACUUUCAGCGGGGAGGCGUUACCCGCAGAAGAAGCACCGGCUAACUCCGUGCCAGCAGCCGCGGUAAUAC
rnacentral:rRNA from 1 species